AGUGAACGCUGGCGGUAGGCCUAACACAUGCAAGUCGAACGGCAGCACAGUAAGAGCUUGCUCUUACGGGUGGCGAGUGGCGGACGGGUGAGGAGUACAUCGGAAUCUACUUUUUCGUGGGGGAUAACGUAGGGAAACUUACGCUAAUACCGCAUACGACCUACGGGUGAAAGCAGGGGAUCUUCGGACCUUGCGCGAUUGAAUGAGCCGAUGUCGGAUUAGCUAGUUGGCGGGGUAAAGGCCCACCAAGGCGACGAUCCGUAGCUGGUCUGAGAGGAUGAUCAGCCACACUGGAACUGAGACACGGACCAGACUCCUACGGGAGGCAGCAGUGGGGAAUAUUGGACAAUGGGCGCAAGCCUGAUCCAGCCAUACCGCGUGGGUGAAGAAGGCCUUCGGGUUGUAAAGCCCUUUUGUUGGGAAAGAAAAGCAGCAGGUUAAUACCCCGCUGUUCUGACGGUACCCAAAGAAUAAGCACCGGCUAACUUCGUG
rnacentral:rRNA from 1 species